ensembl:lncRNA
CCUCUAUAAGAAAAAGACAUUUCCCAAACACUGUAAGUAACUUCAAAAGUGCACAGUACAAGUAAUGCAGGUGGUCAGAGGUCCAAAAAAAGGUCCAAAAUCACCUGUCUCUUUGAAAUAAUAAGUAUGCAUUUCCAGCCAUAACAUUUUGUACAAGAUUUAUUUAAAUCAAUUGAAUGCUGGUGGGUUUUGCUGGUUCCAUGUGUGCAGGAUGCAUUUCUUACAUCUAAAGGACAUUUCACCAAUUAUCUUAGCUGAUACAGGGUCUUUCUAGCAAAAAAAGAAACGUGUUGUGAAAUUGUUAUGUCCAGCUUCCAAACUGUACCGGUCUCCAACAAUACAUUGAAUUCUUAUAUUCCAAAGAGAUUUUAAAAGUUCUCAUACAUUUUGCAUACACUUAAGUUAGCUAGGGGGGAAGGAUAAAUGCUGUAAAUGUAGAUAGCAAUGUCCUGAUGAUGUGAAGAAUCUGAUGGAAUAUGAAUCUGAUUUGGUAGUGGGGUGGGGGUCUCUGGUGAUCACCUGGGUCCUGGAUGUAUUGGAAGAGGCCGGUGCGGAGGUCAUCAGAGCUGUGCUCCGUUCUGGACAGGUGAAGGGUGGGAGAUGUGGGCGGCCUGCUGGUGGGUUGCUGCUCCUCUGCCAAUUCGGGUCCGCUGUCCUUGGGCAGGUAACUCUGAAGGUGGUCCUGUAUCAGCACCAGGCAGUUCAUGUGCUCCUGGCCCCAGAAGACCUGCAGCAGUUUGGGGGGACCGGACUCAGGCCCAGGGCUGGCACUGUGUCGGCACCAGCGCGCCUCCACCUCGGCACCGCAGCCGAACGGGCCCAGCAGCAGCCGACUGCGGUCCCUCAGGCCGGUCUUCAGCCGCAGGUCCUGCACCUCCACCACCACAGAGGCCAACUGCACGCCGCCUGCAAGGGGGAAGAUGGAGGAAUUCACAUCACGCACACCAGCCUCACGCUUCACGAGAGAGAGGCAGAAUGACAGAAAGUUGGAAGGACGCAGAGGAGACCUGAGAGACCUGCAGAUGAGAAACAGAAGGACGGACAUAAAUCACUCCAGCUUUUGUUUUUGGUGUCAAACGACUCUUAGCAGAG